rnacentral:tRNA from 1 species
GCCUUUUGAGUAUGAGAAGUAUAGCUGCCUUCCAAGUAGCAGGAUUAACAAAGUUAAAAAAGGUA